rnacentral:rRNA from 1 species
UACGGGGGGAGCAAGCGUUGUUCGGAUUUACUGGGCGUAAAGGGAGCGUAGGCGGGCGUUUAAGUUAGGUGUUUAAUCCCGGGGCCCAACCCCGGACCGGCACCUAAAACUGGACGUCUUGAAUAGUGGAGAGGUCGGUGGAAUUGGAGGUGUAGCGGUGGAAUGCGUAGAGAUCUCCAAGAACACCCGUUGCGAAGGCGGCCGACUGGACACAUAUUGACGCUGAGGCUCGAAAGCAUGGGGAGCAAACAGG